CCUCCCAACUAGCUAGGAUUUCAGAAUCCUUGCCCAGCAUCCAGCACCUCCUUCCUGUCCAGGAUCACCUUCUGGUGGAUCACAGGGUUGAUCAUCCGGGGCUACCACCAGCCCCUGGAGAGCAGUGGCCUCUGGUCCUUAAAGGAGGAGGACACAUUGGAACAAGUCAUACCUGUUUUGGUAAAGAACUGGAAGAAGAAAUGCACCAAGCCUAGGAAUGGAUGACAAGUAUUUGUUCAACACCUGCUGUGCAUUGUUUUAUGUACUGAGGAUACAGCAGCCCACCUGGAGCUGACAUUCUAGUGGGGAAAGAAAGGGUCAUGGCCAUCAGCGGUCCAGGGAAGAAAGCAAAGCAAAUGGAGAAUGGCAUGCUGUGACAGACAGUGCGGGGAAGCAACUACAGAGAUAGCUCAGCAGCUCCUCCUCCUAUAGCGGGGACAUCAGUAGGCACCAUAACAGCACCACAGAGCUGCAGAAAGCCAAAACCAAGGAGGAGGAGACUUGGAAGCUGAUGGAGGCCAACACGGCACAGACAGGGCAGGUCCAGGUAAAGGCUCUGACACUUUCUCAAGGACACACUGCUGAGACUUCCAGAUUCCAGAUUAUGCAGUGCUCCAUGGCAGUCUCCAAUCUUCAAAUCUUCAAUCUAUGACAGCACAGAUUCCUGAAAGGAUGGCCUCAAAUGACCAGGAGUGACUCUCUACAUCCCUGCUCCUGAAUAACAAGCUAAUUGGAGUCUCCAUCAACUGCCCCGAGCAUAGACACACCUCCAAUUUCCCAACUGAACUUCAUGACUGAUUGGCCAGUCAAUCAUGCCCCUGACCCAGCCUACAUGAACAUUGGAAGACCAUCAGUGAAUUAUGAAAAGAAGGAGAGGCGAGGAGACACCUGCCCUGGGCUACAGAUCUAUGUUGUUCAGCAAUCUCCAGCCCCUAGUACUCAAGAAGCUCUAAGCCACCCCUCUGUAAGUCAGAAUGGAAGCACGUGAUACCACAUUUCUAUCUACUGUAGAGACUCUUCCCAGUGUCUCAAAAUGUUUUAGCAUCUUUCAGUAAAAAUUUUCAUGUCAGUUAUUGAUUAAAAAAAAAAAAAGCAGCAAUGUGUUUAAAGCUCCCUUGAACCCUCUAUUUUAAUGUGCCUUUGUAAAUUCCCAAGAUCUUGUGUUCUUCAUCUUUGUAAUUUAUCUUUAUUAAACUUGUCAUAAACUCCAAUAUUCUGAUCUCUUA